rnacentral:rRNA from 1 species
GAUGAACGCUGGCGGCGUGCCUAAUACAUGCAAGUCGAGCGAACAGACGCGGAGCUUGCUCCUCUGACGUUAGCGGCGGACGGGUGAGUAACACGUGGAUAACCUCCCUAUCAGACUGGGAUAACUUCGGGAAGCCGGAGCUAAUACCGGAUAAUAUAUUGAACCGCAUGGUUCAAUAGUGAAAGACAGUUUUGCUUUCACUUAUAGAUGGAUCCGCGCCGCAUUAGCUAGUUGGUGAGGUAAUGGCUUACCAAGGCGGCGAUGCGUAGCCGACCUGAGAGGGUGAUGGGCGACACUGGAACUGAGACGCGGUCCAGACGCCUACGGGAGGCAGCAGUAGGGAAUCUUCCGCAAUGGGCGAAAGCCUGACGGAGCAACGCCGCGGGAGUGAUGAAGGUCUUCGGAGCGUAGAACUCUGCUAUUAGGGAAGAACAAAUGUGGAAGUAACUAUGCACGUCUUGACGGUACCUAAACAGAAAGCCACGGCUAACUACGUG